AUUGAACGCUGGCGGCAUGCUUUACACAUGCAAGUCGAACGGCAGCACGGGUGCUUGCACCUGGUGGCGAGUGGCGAACGGGUGAGUAAUGCAUCGGAACGUGCCCAUGAGUGGGGGAUAGCCCGGCGAAAGCCGGAUUAAUACCGCAUACGCCCUUAGGGGGAAAGCGGGGGAUCUUCGGACCUCGCGCUAUUGGAGCGGCCGAUGUCGGAUUAGCUAGUAGGUGAGGUAAAGGCUCACCUAGGCGACGAUCCGUAGCUGGUCUGAGAGGAUGAUCAGCCACACUGGGACUGAGACACGGCCCAGACUCCUACGGGAGGCAGCAGUGGGGAAUUUUGGACAAUGGGCGCAAGCCUGAUCCAGCCAUGCCGCGUGAGUGAAGAAGGCCUUUGGGUUGUAAAGCUCUUUCAGGUGGAAAGAAUAGCGCUGUUUAAUAGAUGGCGUUGAUGACGGUACCACAGAAGAAGCACCGGCUAAC
rnacentral:rRNA from 1 species